CCGAGCGCCGUGUCUUGGGGAGCCGAUGGCAGCACCACCUCGGUGCGGCCGCCCGGCCGAGCGCCGAGCGCAGCCACCACCCGCCGCUGCCCGGGGAGCGUCCAGGAUGUGGGGGGACCGGGGCGCGCAGCAGCCUCCGCUGGCCCGCCUGUGCUGACCUGCCUCGCUUGUCCCCAAAGAAUGUCAGCCAAGUCCAAGGGGACCCCCUCCUCGUCCUCUCCAGCCGAGGGACCGCCGGCAGCCUCCAAAACCAAGGUGAAGGAACAGAUCAAGAUCAUCGUGGAGGAUCUGGAAUUAGUCCUGGGCGACCUGAAGGACGUGGCCAAGGAACUUAAGGAGGUGGUUGACCAGAUUGAUACCCUGACCUCUGACCUACAGCUGGAGGAUGAGAUGACUGACAGCUCCAAGACGGACACCCUGAAUAGUAGCUCAAGCGGGACGACAGCCUCCAGCAUAGAGAAGAUCAAAGUGCAGGCCAAUGCCCCCCUCAUUAAGCCCCCAGCCCACCCAUCUGCCAUCCUUACGGUCCUGAGAAAGCCAAACCCUCCAGCGCCUCCUCCACGGUUGACACCCGUGAAGUGUGAAGACCCCCAGCGAGUGGCGCCCCCCAUCAACCCGGUAAAGACCAAUGGCACCCUUCUGCGGAAUGGAGGCUUCCCUGGGGCGCCAACCAAAAUCCCCAACGGAGAAAUCUACUGCAAACCCAGCAGUAACUUGGACAAGGCUCCCGGGCAGCCUCUGAUGCACAGACCCGAAAAAGACAGGUGCCCCCAAGCUGGGCCUCGGGAACGAGUAAGGUUUAAUGAAAAAGUCCAAUACCAUGGCUAUUGUCCUGACUGUGACACCAGGUAUCACGUAAAGAACAGGGAGGUCCUCUUACACAGCGAACCCGUCCACCCACCAGGAAAGCUUCCUCCCCAAGGCCCUCCCCACCCACUUCCCCCUCAUCUCCCUCCUUUUCCACUAGAAAACGGGGGGCUGGGAAUAAGCCACAGUAACAGCUUCCCCCCCCUCAGACCUGCAACUGUGCCUCCUCCCACUGCACCAAAACCACAGAAGACGAUCUUGAGGAAGUCCACCACUACAACAGUGUGAUGUAUGCCAUUUAAAAGCAUUUUUUUGUUUUUUGUUUUUUUGGUUUUUUUUUAAUUUUUCUAUAUUAUAAACAUAAAAUAAUAAGUAAUGAGCACUUUCUACUCAAGCAAUAAAAAGCCCAAAUAUAUUUGUCCUGCAUUCAGCAGAGUGACAUAAAAAUCACCUGACCUAUGAACCUUCAAGUAUACUGCAACCUCGGGAAUAUCCCAGGCAAGAGGACAACACUGGCUGCCUAAGAAGUUUCAAAGACUCCUUCAGGUUGGAAGGAACACCUUUAUUUGGAGGCAUGUCAGUUCAUUUUUCGCACUUCAGAUUCAUCAUUAUGACUUCUUGAGGCCAGAUCUAAUUUUGGAAUAACCAGAAAACUGUCCAUCUUGGAGCAGCAAACCCCUCAACUUGGAGCACAAAUGAUCACUAAUAUGGUCUGCUUAAAACUAUCUGCCUCUAGUCUGACAGCCAUGAGCAGAGCCCUGGGGGCAAAAAAAAAGCCACAGCCUUAAAUGUCUUCACUCAGAAAUUACCAAGAAGAUUAAAAAAAAGAAGAAAAGAAAUGAAAAAGACUAAAUAAGCAAGCCUACAAAAAACCAAAAAGCAAACAAACAAAAUUCAUCUCACUUUAUCAUUGAAAUUAUCCCCAGAUGUGAACCUCCCAAAAUUUAUAUUUAGUAAUUAAGCCAGUAAAUUAUACAUUGAUGUAUCAUUUGGGAAGGUGAAAGUAUAGAAAUAGGUGUCUAUAGCUAGAACUACUCAGCAUUUCAAAAUAUGUAAACAAAACAAAAACAAAAACAUACAACAAGAACUGAACAGAGGAAUAUUGCCUCAAUGAACAGUAUAAGGACAGAAUGUUUCUGUUUGCAAAGAGAGAGGACAUCUGUCAUCUUGUGUACACCUUCAAAGCCAUAAUGGUGUCAGAGUAUUGUUGUCAACUGCUUGAGAAGUGUCUGCAUUCAGUCCUUCACUCCAUACCGGUUGAGAGAGGGGAGGUCAGUUCUUACUGAUUACUUCUCAAUGCACUUCUACUAUUUGCACUGUCACUUCCAUUCAGGGUAAUGAUGUGUGCUGUUAUUUGCACAGAUGGUCCCAUGAAUUUUGAGACCACAACAGUUCCUUGCGGAGUCCAGAAAGGAAACAUGUAAGAAUUCUCCAGGCAUUGAUUUCUCUUUCUUCUAUAAAAAAAAAAUCAGUUAUAAAAAAAUGGACUUGUCUCAGAUUAAAGAACAACUACAGAAUAAUAAUGAAAAAGCAUCAGGGUGGUCGAAUGAAUGAAAAGGGAUCAAAAAUUGUUUUUGUUUUUUUUUUUAGUGAGGAUCAUUUUCUAUCAUUAACAGCAAAGACGUCAAAUACAGUGAACUGUACACCAAAACAUUUGUGUUGAACAUCUAUUUGUUCUCUUACUUAACAAAAUCAUUUGUAAUUUGUAUUUGACAUAUAAGAGAUUUUUAUAGCCAUUUAUCUAUGCCUCAUGGGGAAAUGUACUAA